rnacentral:snRNA from 1 species
AUAUCUUUCUUGGCCUUUUGUCUAAGAUAUAUGUUCUUAUCAGUUUAAUAUCUGAUAUGUGGAUCAUAGAUUCACACGAUAUUACACUAAUAUUUUUUUGGUGAGAUCCCGUUACAGUAGUUUCCUUGAGUGUCUUCUUUGUAGUUUCCUUGAGUGUCUUCUUUGUCUUGCAUUAUUGCAUGGGUUUGGCGCAACCCAC